rnacentral:piRNA from 1 species
UGUUAACCGAAAGAUUGGUGGUUCGAG